rnacentral:tRNA from 1 species
GAUCUGGUAGCUCAGUAGGUAGUGCAACGGCCUUUUAAGCCGUGGGCCCUGGGUUCAAGUCCCAGCCAGAUCA